rnacentral:rRNA from 1 species
GACGAACGCUGGCGGCGUGCCUAAUACAUGCAAGUCGAGCGCAGGAAACUGACGGAACUCUUCGGAGGGAAGGCAGCGGAAUGAGCGGCGGACGGGUGAGUAACACGUAAGGAACCUGCCUCAAGGAUUGGGAUAACUCCGAGAAAUCGGAGCUAAUACCGGAUAGUUCAUCGGACCGCAUGGUCCGUUGAUGAAAGGCGCUCCGGCGUCACCUUGAGAUGGCCUUGCGGUGCAUUAGCUAGUUGGUGGGGUAACGGCCCACCAAGGCGACGAUGCAUAGCCGACCUGAGAGGGUGAUCGGCCACACUGGGACUGAGACACGGCCCAGACUCCUACGGGAGGCAGCAGUAGGGAAUCUUCCACAAUGGACGAAAGUCUGAUGGAGCAACGCCGCGUGAGUGAUGAAGGUUUUCGGAUCGUAAAACUCUGUUGUAAGGGAGAACACGUACGAGAGGGAAUGCUCGUACCUUGACGGUACCUUACGAGAAAGCCACGGCUAACUACGUGCCAGCCGCCGCCGUAAAAC